ensembl:miRNA aca-mir-193 aca-mir-193
AGUUUCCUUGGGGGUCUGGGCCUGGGUCUUUGCGGGCGAGAUGAGAAGUUUCCUGCCUUCAACUGGCCUACAAAGUCCCAGUCCUCGGCCCCUGACUU